UGCCACAAGCACAGGAACCAAUCUGUCUC
rnacentral:piRNA from 1 species